rnacentral:rRNA from 1 species
CGUGAGAUGUUGGGUUAAGUCCCGUAACGAGCGCAACCCUUGUCCUUAGUUACCAGCACGUUAUGGUGGGCACUCUAAGGAGACUGCCGGUGACAAACCGGAGGAAGUGGGGAUGACGUCAAGUCAUCAUGGCCCUUACGGCCUGGGCUACACACGUGCUACAAUGGUCGGUACAAAGGGUUGCCAAGCCGCGAGGUGGAGCUAAUCCCAUAAAACCGAUCGUAGUCCGGAUCGCAGUCUGCAACUCGACUGCGUGAAGUCGGAAUCGCUAGUAAUCGUGAAUCAGAAUGUCACGGUGAAUACGUUCCCGGGCCUU